GAGUUUGAUCCUGGCUCAGAACGAACGCUGGCGGCAUGCCUAACACAUGCAAGUCGAACGCCCGCAAGGGAGGUGGCGGACGGGUGAGUAACGCGUGGGAACCUGCACUUCAGUGGGGGAGUAACGACGGGAAACUGUCGCUAAUACCGCAUACGCCCUACGGGGAAGGAUUUAUCGCUGAAGGAUGGGCCCGCGUCGGAUUAGCUAGUUGGUGAGGUAAUGGCUCACCAAGGCGACGAUCCGUAGCUGGUCUAAGAGGAUGAUCAGCCACCACUGGGACGUGAGACACGGCCCAGACUCCUACGGGAGGCAGCAGUGGGGAAUAUUGGACAAUGGGGGAAACCCGUAGAUCCAGCAAUGCCGCGUGAGUGAU
rnacentral:rRNA from 1 species